rnacentral:misc_RNA from 1 species
AACACCACAUCACACGCACGCCAAUGCACGCACAAGUACACCAGAGACGACUAUAGAGGUUGGGUGAAGGAAUAUGAUUGACCCUGAUUACCUAUGCCAAAUCCAACACCUGAAACGUGUCCAGAAUAUCUAAAAAUGUUAGGAUUGACUAUCAUUUCGAUCACAUUCUGAUAUGGGCAGCCGGAUCUGGCUGAAAUGCGGUACCGACGCCGAUGAGCUAUCCUCAAUCCGAUUGCACCAGGUAAUCUGGAUUGUCCGAUUAUCGCCUUUUUCAACAGUAUCCGAUAGGAGCAGGAUUGGUCCUAUCUCAAAGAUCUCGUCG